GUAUGGUCUGGUCAACAAGAAAAUUACCGACAUACAGCAAAUUCAUACCAUCUGAUAAUGAAGAUUUUUGCUGAGUCUGACGAAUUCAAGGCUAUGUGGAGAUUAGUAGAUGAGAUGAUUGAGAAAGGAUACCCUACAACUGCUAGGACAUUUAAUUUGUUGAUAUGUACUUGUGGAGAGGCAGGUUUGGCUAGAAAAGUAGUAGAGAGGUUUAUUAAGUCAAAGACAUUCAAUUAUAGACCAUUCAGGCAUUCAUUUAAUGCAAUUUUGCAUUCCCUUCUGGGUGUAAAUCAG
rnacentral:misc_RNA from 1 species